CUACAUUAGAUACCCGGGUAGUCCCAGCCGUAAACUAUGCGCGUUAGGUGUAUCGGUGACCACGAGUCACCGAGGUGCCGAAGGGAAACCGUGAAACGUGCCGCCUGGGAAGUACGGUCGCAAGGCUGAAACUUAAAGGAAUUGGCGGGGAGCACCACAACGGGUGGAGCCUGCGGUUUAAUUGGACUCAACGCCGGGAAGCUCACCGGAUAAGACAGCGGAAUGAUUGCCGGGCUGAAGACUCUGCAUGACUAGCUG
rnacentral:rRNA from 1 species